GUGGGGAAAGGGAGACGCUUACUCCCCAUUGCGAAGACAAUGUCUGGGCAGUGUGGCCUGGGAGGUCAAACACGGAAGGGAUUAAGAGAAGCACCUUUUGGCCGGAACCACCAGUGGGCCCAGGUGUUACAAAUUCACCCCAAGUCAGCUGUCACUGAUUCUAGGAGCCCCUACCCGAGGCUCUGUUGCUGGGCUCUUCACCUCAAACCCCUCCAUCCUCUCCCCAGGCUUGGAACAGGUGGCUCUGUCACCAUAGCCCAUGUUGAAGAGGAAGUGUGGGGCUGCAGGACUCAACUUAAAGUGCCCUGAGUUUUAAGGAAAGAGACAGCGAGGCUCUCUGCCUCAGGCCAGGAGAAGGAAGGCAGCCUCCAUCUCUGAACUACGGACAGCUGUUCCCUGGCGCUUAGUUCUGGCUUGCUCUUGCUCUUCUGACUGGAUGCCGGCCAGGGUUUGGAGAACUACAACUAAGUUUUAGACUUCGGAAGGGAGUGAGCGGGUUCCUCCCAGCCCUCCCUGUCGACCUAGGUUCUGAGGCGCUGGAGGGUGUGAGAAGAGUCUCCAGGAAAGUCAAAUGCAGGGUGGCCAGCGAAGCCAACCCUCACAGGUGAAAAGUCCUGACUGGAGAGAGGAAGAGGCUGGACGACCGCUCAGGCUGCUGGAAACGGGACUUUCUGGCCUGAGGAGGCCAGCCAAGAAUGUGUCCGGUGCAAAUGUAUGGAAGUCACGUUGGCUCUUGUACCCUGUUCUUCUGAUGUGCCGUCUUCCUGAACUUCUCCCCAGGUUCGUUGGUAUAACAGCGUUGGGGACUUUAUUUAUUUAUUAGAAUGCUUUGGACUUCAGAUGUAAAAGAUGAUGUCAUGUGUACGGACGAAUAAUUUUACUAUUUUGCUUCUUCCUUUCCAAUCUCGAUGCCACUUACUGCAUCUUCUUACCUGAUUCCUGGCGAGAAUCCCAGGGGAGAUGAACGGAUAUCCUUGUACAGAGCCCGCGUCCUCACCCUGGACUUUUACACAGAAAUGGUAACAGUCACUUCUCAGGGCGUCAGAGAGACCAAGGCCAGAGUGCAGAUCGACUGUCUCAGCAAGGACUUUCACACCUGUGAGGCUGAACUGCCCAGGAUCACCCAGUCCCCGGAGGUGGCUCCCAACACUCUUGAAACCUUCCUAAUACUUCUGAAGAAUCGCACAGUGAUGAAGUACAGACACGGAACAUUUGGUAAGCGUUUCUUCAAGGCAAGAGUCCCACUUGCACCCUUCCCUUCGGUGCCAGCUCGAGCACAGAACCAGACACAGUCCUCAGCAUGAAUCCUCCAAGGCAGGCCACAAGCAGCAGCAGGUAAGAAGCCAGGCUGUGGGGGCUUGUGGGCCAGGCAAGAUGUUUUACUCCAUCUGGUCACAACAGGUUUAAUGUACUCUGGCAAGAGCAGGGGCUCUGUCUAAGGGCUUUCAAACAUUGGAAGACACCUUCAGUUCCUUUAGAUCACCACAGCUUAUCUGAAAGGAGCUUUUAGACACAACCAAUUUCUUCCAAAUUCUGAUAGUUCUUUGACUCAAUUCUUUCUUGUACAUUUGUGAUCUAUAACUAAGACACUCAAAAUAACCUUCAGCUUGUGGUAACACAAGUACGGAAGGAACUAUACGCUCUAUUCCCACUGGAAACAUACCACAAGUGGGCAUGGGGCGAAACUAGGCUUUUCUAAGAGCUAAGGUCUACGGAACAACAAAAAUAAUCAUCUCCAAUGUAAAUUUUACUAUUUUAUUUGUGAAAAAACUACAAGCAGAAUUCAUAAAUAGACAUUUCUAUUUAAAGCAGGAAAAUGAUAAAGUGGCUUCUAAUAACAUAGUCGUGCACAUGCCAAUAACAGGAAUAUAUUAACAUCUUUUAUUUGCUAGACAAAGAGCAGUGUCCAAUAUAAAUUUCCCCCAAACAUUUAAGACCUGUGAAUUUCUGACCAGUUCACAAAACCACUGACACUUUAGCAUGAAGAGAAAACAAACCUAACAGACUGUCAGCUCUAAGACGGACGGAGCAGAAACUUCCAAAGCAUUAUACAAGCCAUCUUUCUGGGCAAAUGGAAAAUAGAGCUCGUAUAAGACAUUAACAAAAGUUCACAAGGGAAGAUUAUGUUCUGACAUACUUAACAAGCAUUCGCUAUCUGUCUCCAACAAACAAAGCUAAGGAAAUAAUGUAACCAUCUUUACACAGUAAAUUAAGGUUACAAGUCAUACACAAGAACAGAACUGCUUGCGCGUUAGAAACUGUUCAGCUCCAUUGUCACACUCUAAAUGUUGGCUCUUAACCAUUUUCGGUAACAUACAAGCAAAGAUUAUUAUAUAUUCAGCAAUUAAUAAUUUCUCAAUAAUUUAAGAUACGGUAGCUUAAAAAUGUAGACUGAGAAUGAUCUUGAUAAGGCAGGCGAGACAUCUCAGUGGAGCUAAACUCACAGAAGCUUCUGCCAAUGUUCCGAAAUACCCAGAUCCAGAUCCAAACUGAAAGGUUUUGAUUAAAAUAUUUUCGUGGUUAUCAAGAUGUCUUUCUUUUCCCUCCCAAUUGCAUGCCUCGGGCAGAGCAAGUCAGGUCAGCUCUGUGCGUGUACACACGAGUGUGAAAGAUCAUGUACUAAACAUACGGGAAACUUGCAAGCCUUAACACUGUGCUUUUUGUUUUAAUAUGCUUUCUGUGCCACUGAAUACCAAGUAUUUCUGGUCCUCUUAAUGUCUCUUUGUAAGCUACACUAGUGUUUUUACCUACUGAGUACUAUAGUAGGGCAAACUGUAAAUGCAGGAAGCUAGUAAGAAUUCCAUUUCCAGAAUGCAUGCCUGAGGGAUGUCAUCGUGUAGCACCUACCACCUCUCCACCCCAACAGAGCCUGUGACAGCAGCGACAGGGGGCCAGGGACAGCAGACUGCUUGGACUCCGCCACUGUCGGCUGCAGUUUCUACCUCAUGGCAAGUUCACUCCACUCGUUCUGAAGCCUUCCCUCCCUUCACCCCUCCUCAUUAAUUUAUCACGGAGGCAAAACUGAAAAACCAAGACAUGGGCGAUGAAUGAAUUAGUAGCCUAUGAGGAGCUGGUAAAUCAGCCUUUCCCACUAAUCUAGGGGGUCCAAUCACUUUACAUGAAA